UAUACACUUAUUGUUGAUUAGAAUUCUCACCAAUUUUUAGUAUAAAAGGGCCAAAAAAGCUCACGAAUCCAUCAGUUUUUUUGAUUUAAUUGUUACAGUGAUAAUUUAUUUUGAGCAAAAUGAAGUUCUUCUCGGUUUUCAUCAUAUUUUCAAUUUUCUUAAUUGUUUAUACCAGCGCUGCUAGACUCAGCACCAAUGACCUUCUAGAUAAAUUUAAGGAAAUGACGUUGAUUGAACUGGAUGAUUUCGUUAAGGGAUUCGAAGAUAAUUUCGAAGUUUCAGUCAAUACAGUAUAAUUCAUCCCUAUAACCUGCUUGCUAGAGUGUCAAAAUGACUUUUUUCUUUAAAUUUGUCUGCUCUGAAUCAAUUAAAUAAACUUUGUAAAAC